GAGACAUUUAGAGGACGACACUGCCAAAGACUUAGGAAACCCUCCUCCUCCUCUUAUGUUCACACAUCCACUCAUAGCAAAGCAAUUAGGAGAUAAGCAAUCAGGAGGAGGGAGCUAUUGAGCAGGAGGGCGACGGGAUUGUUGCUGUGAUGAUUUGCUUCCUCUCAGGGAGAGACGUACAUCAAACAUCCUCCACGUGUCCCGCCAGAGACUCGCCCGAGGCUGCAGGUUGAAAUACGAAGUCAUUUGACUAAUUCAUGCGAGUGCGUGUGUGUUUCGUGUGUUUUGAUGUGCCGUGUGUCUGUCUUAAGAAAACAUGAUGCUCAAAUCAAGGAGGAGGGAAAUAAUGCUGAACGUAAAUGUCAUCAAAGGCGCCGCUUUAUGAGACACGUGCGUGGAAGCGGAGUGGCAGUCUGGGCUUUUUGGGUGACAAAUUACAAUCCUACAGUCCUGAAUCUAAAAGCUAAGAGAACAGCGCCGUUAUGCUUUGUUUUUGCACCAUAUCCCGCUGUUUAUCUUCAAAACGUCAACCUUCAAUGAAUAAAAAACACAUGCGCCCUGUACCCGUAUAAUGCCCAACUACGAUCCCAAGAUGUAUAUAUUUUGUAAAGAAUCUUAAACGCAACCUUUCUUAUUCGUUUAUCUGUCAUUAAAUCAUGUGUUGCUCAAUCGGCGUGUGAGAUUCAAGAAAACCAAAGAAGGUAACAAUGUUUUUUUUCAAAGCAGCUUAAAUUGAUGAUUGCCUCUAGAAGACAGACGAACUGCACAAAACCAUAAAGACCGUUCUGAGAUAUAGAUUACCUUGUAGAUUUAUCCUUUAAUUAAUUCUGAGUGGUGUUUUGGCUCACUUGAUGACUGUUAGUUCAAUAUUUACAGCCCUGUAGCUCUGCUUUGUUGUCCACCAGCUUUUUUACAAAUAGUUUUAAAUUUGCUCGUCUCGUUUGGUAUUGGGAAGCUUGUGUCUGUGUGUAUGUAUAUGUACACAUUUUGGUAUUCACUUUUCUCUCGGUUGAAGACAGUUUGAGAUAAAUCUAGUGCGUUUCCAGAAACGGACGACCUCAUACCAGCUUCAGCUUUAACUGUAACUAUUUGUGGCAGGAUUCUUAGAACAUUUUUGUAGCUCACGUUGUCCGUUAUUAAGUCAACAGCCUGAUAAAAAGCCACCGUAUUCAACUGUUAAUGUCUGAGGGGAAUGUGGAGAAGCAUUCAGACAAAUUCACAAGUUAUUUUCUGUCUGUAAUAUUUCUAAAGCGAGUGCAUUCACUAAUUUCACUUACAAAAACGUAAACUGUAUGCAUAUACAGGACUCGAUAGGAACAAUUUCUGGAAAGAAUCUCACUCGUGUGUGUGUGUGUGUGUGUGUGUAACAGACUGAGCUUGAUAAGAAGACACACGGGGCAUUCAGAGAGAUGAGGGCUGCAGUGUGUCCUCUCAAUGAAGUUACUCUCCUACGCGUCGACAGCGGCUGGGCUUCCUCUUUGAGCAUCCAGGCUGGAGGGAUGAUGGAGGCAAGAGAUGGAAUCCACUGACAGGCUCAUUAAUCAGGGGCAUUAAGACAGAGGGGUGCUGGCCUUGUCUCCGACGGGACACCCGGUCAGCUCAGACAUCGUGUCUGUAGCAACGGUUUGCUCUCCCCACCCCUGAAUCACUGCUGGCCUGCAAAGGUCAGACUCUAGAUGAUGUUUAUUUGUUUGACUGAGUGAGUGAUCCUCCUGCUUUAUUUGCUGCACAAGUUUUUUUUUUUUUUUUUAGUCGGUCUUGAUUUUCUUCCUUGCUCUUCAGCCGCCUCCCUUUGCCUUUGUUUUCCUGUCACUCCAUCUUUCCCCCUCGCCUGCUUCCUGCCCACUUUAACGAGAGUGUUGUACAAGGACAUGCUAUUUAUACAGAAAG
ensembl:lncRNA